UCUCUGCGAUCAAACAAGGCCAAAGGAGGGGGAAACCCUAGUUCAAAGAAUCAAGUGAAUCAAUCCAAAUUCAUGAGCCAAUCUGAUGCAUGUUCUCUAAAUUGUGAUUAGCUAACCCUAAUCUCUUAAGUGGCGUAAAAGAAGAAGGUACAAGCACUAAGCAAGCGGAAGGAGUACAAGAUCGAGGUAAAGCACCUCUAUAGGCGAUUUGGAGAUAUGGGACGAGCACAUGUUCAAGCCUUAUGAUACCAAGCGCUUCCGCAACUUAUAUGCAUGUUU